rnacentral:rRNA from 1 species
AGUGAACGCUGGCGGUAGGCCUAACACAUGCAAGUCGAACGGCAGCACAGUAAGAGCUUGCUCUUACGGGUGGCGAGUGGCGGACGGGUGAGGAAUACAUCGGAAUCUACUUUUUCGUGGGGGAUAACGUAGGGAAACUUACGCUAAUACCGCAUACGACCUACGGGUGAAAGCAUGGGAUCUUCGGACCUUGCGCGAUUGAAUGCGCCGAUGUCGGAUUAGCUAGUUGGCGGGGUAAAGGCCCACCAAGGCGACGAUCCGUAGCUGGUCUGAGAGGAUGAUCAGCCACACUGGAACGGAGACACGGUCCAGACUCCUACGGGAGGCAGCAGUGGGGAAUAUUGGACAAUGGGCGCAAGCCUGAUCCAGCCAUACCGCGUGGGUGAAGAAGGCCUUCGGGUUGUAAAGCCCUUUUGUUGGGAAAGAAAAGCAGCAGGUUAAUACCCCGCUGUUCUGACGGUACCCAAAGAAUAAGCACCGGCUAACUUCGUG